UCUUUUGGAAAAUUUUGAUAGAAGUUCAACAAAAUUAAUAGCAGUUUCUUUUUCUUUUCAAAUUAAACUCGGUAGAACCAUUUUAGAUUUGGAAGUUUCACAACUUCGUUUUUUUCCCUUCCAUUCAUCACCAAGUUCGAUAUACUUCUUUCUCUACAACCCAUUUCAAUAACACAGUAACUUCAUUUUCGAUCUUUCCGGCGUGAGCAACCAACAACUCAGCUCUGUUUCGAAACCACCACAACCAUCGCAGCUUUGAUUCAAAACAACAACAUCCAACACCAACUUCA
rnacentral:lncRNA from 1 species